UACAGAGGGGGCAAGCGUUGUUCGGAAUUACUGGGCGUAAAGGGCGCGUAGGCGGCCUUCUAAGUCGAACGUGAAAUCCCCGGGCUCAACCCGGGAACUGCAGCCGAUACGGGCAGACUAGAGUUCGGCAGGGGAGACUGGAAUUCCUGGUGUAGCGGUGAAAUGCGCAGAUAUCAGGAGGAACACCGGUGGCGAAGGCGGGUCUCUGGGCCGAUACUGACGCUGAGGAGCGAAAGCGUGGGGAGCGAACAGG
rnacentral:rRNA from 1 species